AACGAACGCUGGCGGCAGGCUUAACACAUGCAAGUCGAGCGCCCCGCAAGGGGAGCGGCAGACGGGUGAGUAACGCGUGGGAAUCUACCCAUCUCUACGGAAUAACGCAUGGAAACGUGUGCUAAUACCGUAUACGUCCUUCGGGAGAAAGAUUUAUCGGAGAUGGAUGAGCCCGCGUCGGAUUAGCUAGUUGGUGGGGUAAAGGCCUACCAAGGCGACGAUCCAUAGCUGGUCUGAGAGGAUGAUCAGCCACACUGGGACUGAGACACGGCCCAGACUCCUCCGGGAGGCAGCAGUGGGGAAUAUUGGACAAUGGGCGCAAGCCUGAUCCAGCCAUGCCGCGUGAGUGAUGAAGGCCCUAGGGUUGUAAAGCUCUUUCACCGGUGAAGAUAAUGACGGUAACCGGAGAAGAAGCCCCGGCUAACUUCGUGCCAGCCGCCGCCGUAAAAC
rnacentral:rRNA from 1 species